rnacentral:rRNA from 1 species
GACGGAGGAUGCAAGCGUUAUCCGGAAUGAUUGGGCGUAAAGCGUCCGCAGGUGGCAGUUCAAGUCUGCUGUCAAAGACCGGGGCUUAACUUCGGAAAGGCAGUGGAAACUGAACAGCUAGAGUAUGGUAGGGGCAGAGGGAAUUCCUGGUGUAGCGGUGAAAUGCGUAGAGAUCAGGAGGAACACCGAUGGCGAAGGCAGGUCUCUGGGCCGAUACUGACGCUGAGGAGCGAAAGCGUGGGGAGCGAACAGG